UCUAUUUCCAAUUCCUCCUUGCUUCUCAUUCACAAGACAGCCCCGCGAGGAAAAUCUGCAGUGCUAGGGUUUCUGAACCACUCCGAGCUCGUUCGGAGACGGAAUCCAUGCCCAGAAGCCACUCCGUACGAUUCUCUUAGCCCUCUACCUUCCCGAAGGUUUGAUUCUGAACGGGCUUGGUUGAUAUUUUUGAGAAGAGCAUAUUUUUAUAGUUGAGUCUUUGAGUAAAAGAAAAUCAUGUCUGGAAGAAAUCGUGGACCACCUCAUACUGGAUUGCCCCCUCCGGUUCAUGAAUCCCCAUAUGGAAGAGGACUUGGGCCGAUGCCCCAUCCAGCAUUAGUCGAGGAAAUGAGAGAAUCUCAGCUUGGCAUGGGUCCCAGACAACGUCCUCCCCACCCUGCAAUAAUAGAGGAGCAUCUUGCGGCUCAACAUCAAGAUAUACAAGGACUUCUAGGUGAUAACCAAAGGCUGGCUGCAACCCAUGUUGCACUUAAGCAGGAAUUGGAGGCUGCCCAAUUUGAGUUGCAGCGAAUGGCUUACCAUGUUGAUUCACUGCGGGCAGACAAGGAUGUUCAAAUGAGAGAUUUGUAUGACAAGUCUGUUCGUUUGGAAGUGGACCUUCGUGGAGUUGAGGCCAUGCGGAAUGAACUUCUUCAGGUUCGUGCUGAUAUCAAGGAGCUCACUGCUGCGAGGCAGGAGCUCUCGGCUCAGGCACAAGCAAUGACACAAGAUCUGGCUAGAAUGACUGCUGAUUUGCAACAAGCACCAGCUUUGAGAGCAGAAAUUGAAGCAAUGAAACAGGAAUUGCAACGUGCUAGAGCUGCCAUUGAGUAUGAAAAGAAAGGAUAUGCAGAGAAUUAUGAGCAUGGUCAGAUCAUGGAGAAGAAUUUGACAUCGAUGGCUAGGGAGCUGGAGAAACUUCGUGCAGAAAUUGCUAAUACUGAGAAGAGAGCACGAGCUGCAGCUGCUGUUGGAAAUCCAGCUGUAGGUUAUAAUGCAAAUUAUGGCAAUCCUGAAGCAGGAUAUGCAGGAAAUCCCUAUCCUGCCAACUAUGGCAUGAAUCCUGUACAUAAUGGUGCUGAAAAUUUUCCUCAGUAUACUCCUAUGCCCGGUUCGUCAGGUGCUUAUGACAUGCAGCGAGCUCAGGGACACAGAUAAGCUAGUUCAUCCAUGAUGCUGAGCCCUGUCCUGACUGGUAUCUUGGCUGCAGCAUAUUAGAUGCUUAGGUUCACAAUCUUUUGACCCUGCAAAUCUGCUGCCUUCCAUGUAUGUCCAAUGUUCUCUCGAGUUCCGCUCACGAUUACUGCAAAUCUGCUCAUGAGGUGGUGAUUUCUUAUUGCGGCACAAGCUAAAGGCAAGAAUGGUUUGGUUCCCUGUUAUCUUAAUGCAACGAACAAACAACCAGGCGGUUCGAUCUUAUGAUCGUAUGUUGGCCGACCAUAAAUGGUAUCCUCCUGCGCACUACGUACUACUUUAAUCAGGCGUUUCUAAGAUACUAAUGUUGUGUUUGGACGAGGGAUUGUAGUAGUACCAAGGGACUUAGGAAGGACUGUAGAAGUGCACUGCAGAGCAUUUGAUUGAUGCAUUUGAAAUGACUGCUUACAAGGAGCCAUUUGAGAAGCCGUUAUUUAGUCGCUUUGUAAUGCUCAUGUAGCGUAUUUUCAAUCCAUCUAUCUAAUGUUUUCUAGUGCACCUCUAAAUAAUUUUGACUAAAUCUCUUGGUACUUGGAAAUUCCUCAUCCAAACACGCCAACGCCAUAAUGGUUUUUAGUUUUAUGACGGAGAACCCUUUUCCCUGAAGAGGAGUCUCCAAAGUGAGAUAACACAGUUAUGAGCAAAUCGACGGUGAGCGAAAAAUAAACGAUCCUGUUAAUGUUCUUUACCCUAUUGAAUUACAUUGAACAUGAUACCAAAAAACAGAAAGAAAUUGUUAUAUGAUUGGAAAAAAACAACCUAAUCUUAAGCCUUUUUCGGUCUCUGGGAUUGGAUUGGAAGGGUAACUUUCUAUUU